UCCCGCCUCCCGCCAGGACUUGGCCGCUCGUCGGCGCCGCGCCCUCGCUCCGCCAGGAAGCAGCCGCCUGGGCCCCGCGCGGGAGGAGCGUGGCCUCUGACGGGAGCGGCGACCCCGCCGGCCCCGGUCUGUUUCCCUGGCGGCGGCGGCGGCUUCUUCCGUAGGACAAUAUGUUCAAGAGAAUGGCCGAAUUUGGGCCUGACUCCGGCGGGAGAGUGAAGGGGGUUACUAUCGUUAAGCCAAUAGUUUAUGGUAAUGUUGCUCGAUAUUUUGGAAAGAAAAGAGAAGAGGAUGGGCACACCCAUCAGUGGACCGUGUAUGUAAAACCAUAUAGAAAUGAGGAUAUGUCAGCAUAUGUGAAGAAAAUCCAAUUUAAAUUACAUGAGAGCUAUGGCAAUCCUUUAAGAGUUGUUACUAAACCUCCAUAUGAAAUUACUGAAACAGGAUGGGGUGAAUUUGAAAUAAUCAUCAAAAUAUUUUUCAUUGAUCCUAAUGAAAGACCUGUAACCCUCUAUCAUUUAUUAAAGCUGUUUCAGUCAGACACCAAUGCAAUGCUGGGAAAAAAGACAGUGGUUUCAGAGUUCUAUGAUGAAAUGAUAUUUCAAGACCCAACAGCAAUGAUGCAACAAUUGUUAACAACAUCUCGCCAGCUAACAUUAGGAGCCUAUAAGCAUGAAACAGAAUUUGCAGAACUUGAAGUGAAAACCAGAGAAAAAUUAGAAGCUGCGAAGAAAAAAACAAGCUUUGAAAUUGCAGAGCUUAAGGAGAGAUUAAAGCCUCCUGUUCAGGUCCACGUAGUGAGCCCUGUACUUUUGGACUCAUCUAAUUGGAACACUUAGUAGUACUUACAUCCACAUGGGCUGAUCUGUCUGGGAAACCUAGGAACAACAAUAGAUCAUUAUGAAGUGUCACGUGGCAGUUCAGAGAAAUGAAACAUGACUUCUGAAUGAUUCGAGAAGCUGAAGGACCAAGACUUCAGAAACUACUGGAGAGACUCAGUCUUUCCCCAUCUUGAAUCCCCUACCUUGGUUGAUGGCAUCAGUACCAACCCAGUUUGCCACGUUGUCAACACUACCCAGGACCUCCCCGGCCGAGGCUCCUCUGGUGACAACUCCAGUCUCUGUCCACAGAGCAGACUAUGAAGGUGUCCGCGUCCCCAUACGGAAGUGUUCAGCCAAGAGAGGACGUUUGGACACACGCAUGGAUGGAGGGAAGAUGAUGUGAAGAUGAAGGGAGAAGAUGACCACUUAGAGGCCAUGGAGAGAGGCCGAGAGCAGAUCCUUCCCUCACAGCCCUCAAAAGGGACCGACCCUGCCCACAUCUUGCUCUCAGACUUCCAGGCUCCGAAACUGCGAGACGGUAUGUGGGUGUCGUGUGUGUCGUUGCAGCCGCCCGGUCUGUGGUGUUUUGUUACAGGGCCCCUAACAAACGAAAACACGUGCUGUAAAACUCACCCAUUUGCCUGUAGAGUUCAAUGAUUUCUAGUAAAUUAACAGAGUUCUGCAAUCUAAUUCUAGAACAUUUUCUUCGCUCCUGGAAACCUUGCUGCCAUGUGCAUUCACUCCCCCUUCCCACCCCAGCCCCAGAAGACCACUGAUUGUCUGUCUGUCUGACUUGUCCCUUCUGGUCAUAUACGUCAUCUCCAACGAUUAGGACAUCUCCCAUGCCACGAGUCCGCACUUCCCUUAUCCAGGUUUUCUAUCUGUUGAAACAUCUUACAUUGAGUUGGCACGAAUGGCUCUAUAACUUGCGCAUGGUAACGUUCCUGUUAUAGUUCAUCUGAAACGUAAGCAAGACAAAAAAUAUCACAUGUUCUGCAGAAGAGUUGGAAUGGAAUUGAAAUAUUCAGUCAAAACGACCAUCAUGAUCGUACAUGACGAAAAUAGGGCUUGUUUUUAGCAGUCGAUGAGGAAAAAAAACAGACGCUGAGGGAAAAAUGCUCUCUUGAGGAUGGGGAGCAGAGAGAGAGCCCAAGAUGGGCUGCUGCUGAGACCUGGAUUAACACGCUACUCCGCAGAGCGGCUCAGGCCCAUCUGGGAGCCGAGGGGGCCAUCGCCCAGGCCUACACGCGCGGGGCCAGGCCUAAAUGCGCAGCCCCCCAUGGCCCAGACACAGACCUUUGUGCAGCACCCCCGUGCUAGAAAGAUUGGCUGGGAUGAAAUACAUCUAGGCCAUUAGGUGGAAACCACAUACAUGGAGAAGUCUUUGCUUUUCUCGCCUAGAGGAGUUGGCCCUUCUGCUCACCCUACCAACCCACGGUAACAACUGAAACUACAUGGUCUCCUUGACUGCUGUGCCGCAAGCUGGGCGUGUGAGAGCAAGAGUAGAAAGAUGGAAACCAGAUAGAAUGCAACUUCUGUUAUCAAGACAAGAGACAAUGUCGGCAUAAAAAAGAAAAAUUGAGGCAGAGUAAGCUGGGCCACCACUGCAUAAGAAACAAUGAAGGUGGAAUGCAACCUCUUAACGUCUGGACAUACUGAACAGCCCAACCUGGACAACAACAGCAGCUUAAUUCUCAAAACCUUUUAAAGGGAGGUGUCGGCUCCAGUAUUUUUUUCCUCAAUGUUUAAUUAAAAAUUAAAUGUGAAAUAUGCUAAAAAUUGAUGGCCAUUCCCUUUUAGAGCCUCCAUUUUUGUACUUUUUUCUUUCAUUUUUGAACCUUUAGUGCAUUUCUGUCAAUGUGAUAUUUUUGCUCGAAUUCAACCUUGCUCUCUCCCAUUUCUCCAUGCGAGCACAAUUUAACUACAAAUAUUGGUUUCUGGUGUCAAUAUUGUAUUCCUUCAAAUUGCUGCCAUUGUUUUUAAAAAGAUACCUUUUUUUGCUACAUGCGUAAGGCUGUUCAUGAUAACUUGCAAUAAAAACAAACUUGUAAGAAUUA